AUUGAACGCUGGCGGCAUGCUUUACGCAUGCAAGUCGAACGGUAACAGGCCGCAAGGUGCUGACGAGUGGCGAACGGGUGAGUAAUGCAUCGGAACGUGCCCAGUCGUGGGGGAUAACGCAGCGAAAGCUGUGCUAAUACCGCAUACGAUCUAUGGAUGAAAGCGGGGGACCGUAAGGCCUCGCGCGAUUGGAGCGGCCGGUGUCAGAUUAGGUAGUUGGUGGGGUAAAGGCUCACCAAGCCAACGAUCUGUAGCUGGUCUGAGAGGACGACCAGCCACACUGGGACUGAGACACGGCCCAGACUCCUACGGGAGGCAGCAGUGGGGAAUUUUGGACAAUGGGCGCAAGCCUGUUCCAGCAAUGCCGCGUGCAGGAAGAAGGCCUUCGGGUUGUAAACUGCUUUUGUACGGAACGAAACGGUCCUGGUUAAUACCUGGGGCUAAUGACGGUACCGUAAGAAUAAGCACCGGCUAACUACGUGCCAGCAGCCGCGGUAACAC
rnacentral:rRNA from 1 species